rnacentral:tRNA from 1 species
GGUCAUGUGGCUUAAUGGUAGAGUGCUUGCCUCACAUGCAUGAACCACUGGGUUCAAUUCCUCAGUACCU